rnacentral:rRNA from 1 species
AUACGUAGGUGGCGAGCGUUGUCCGGAAUUACUGGGCGUAAAGGGUGCGUAGGCGGUUUAUUAAGUCAGAUGUGAAAUUCCAGGGCUUAACCUUGGAAUUGCAUUUGAAACUGGUAGGCUAGAGUGCAGGAGAGGAAAGCGGAAUUCCUAGUGUAGCGGUGAAAUGCGUAGAUAUUAGGAAGAACACCAGUGGCGAAGGCGGCUUUCUGGACUGUAACUGACGCUGAGGCACGAAAGCGUGGGGAGCAAACAGGAUUAGAUACCCUGGUAGUCCACGCUGUAAACUAUGAGUGCUAGGUGUAGGGGGUAUCGACACCCUCUGUGCCGCAGUAAACGCAAUAAGCACUCCGCCUGGGGAGUACGGUCGCAAGACUAAA